CGAAAGCCUGACGGAGCAACGCCGCGUGUGGGAAGAAGGCCUUUGGGCUGUCAACCACUUUUCUCAGGGAAGAAGUUCUGACGGUACCUGAGGAAUCAGCCUCGGCUAACUCCGUGCCAGCAGCCGCGGUAAUACGGAGGAGGCAAGCGUUAUCCGGAAUUACUGGGCGUAAAGCGUCCGUAGGGGGCUCGUCAAGUCUGCUGUCAAAGCUCGGAGCUCAACUCCGACCCGGCAGUGGAAACUGGGGAGCUAGAGGGCGGCAGGGGCAGAGGGAAUUCCCAGUGUAGCGGUGAGAUGCGUAGAUAUUGGGAAGAACACCGGUGGCGAAAGCGCUUUGCUGGACCGAACCUGACGCUGAGGGACGAAAGCUAAGGUAGCG
rnacentral:rRNA from 1 species